CCUACGGGUGGCAGCAGUGGGGAAUAUUGCACAAUGGGGGAAACCCUGAUGCAGCGACGCCGCGUGAAUGAUGAAGGUCUUCGGAUUGUAAAGUUCUGUGAUGGGGGAUGAACACAAUGACGGUACCCCAAUAGCAAGCCACGGCUAACUACGUGCCAGCAGCCGCGGUAAUACGGAGGUGGCAAGCGUUAUCCGGAAUGACUGGGCGUAAAGGGUGCGUAGGUGGUUUAGUAAGUUGGCGGUGUAAUUCCGGGGCUCAACCUCGGCGCUACCGCCAAAACGAGUAGACUAGAGUGCAGGGGGGGUAAGUGGAAUUCCUAGUGUAGCGGUGGAAUGCGUAGAUAUUAGGAGGAACAUCAGGGGCGAAGGCGACUUACUGGACUGUAACUGACGCUGAGGCACGAAAGCGUGGGGAGCAAACAGGAUUAGAUACCCCAGUAGUC
rnacentral:rRNA from 1 species